UACAGAGACUGCAAGCGUUAUUCGGAUUCACUGGGCGUAAAGGGUGCGCAGGCGCCAUGUGUGUGAGGCGUGAAAGCCUGGAGCUUAACUCCAGAAUUGCACCUCAAACUACAUGGCUAGAGCCAUUGGAGGAGGGUAGCAGGAAUUCAUGGUGUAGCAUGAAAUGCGUAGAGGAUCAUGAGGAAGACCAGUGCGAAGGCGGGUCUCUGGGACAGUUCCUGACACUGAGGCACGAAGGCCAGGGGAGCAAACGGG
rnacentral:rRNA from 1 species